rnacentral:lncRNA from 1 species
UUUGAUUGGUCAUUCAAUCGGUAAGGUAGAGCAAGGGCACUAUCGACAUUAACCAUCUAUAUGGAGAGUAUCAAAAUAGUUAAGAAUACGACAAAAUAAUUAAAAGUAUGCCAGAAUGAAUUUUGUCUCAUUAAGAACAUCUGAGCGUUUCAACCCCAAAAUAAAACUCGAAAGAUAAGACCUUGUCUUCCAAUUAUCCCAGGACCCCUCAAGAGUAAUCACCGCCGUCUCCUUCACCACGGAGCUCCUAUGUCGCCGUCUUCCAAUCAAACACCGCUUCUGCUACCUCCUCCUUCAUCAAGCUCCCAUCCCUUGUCCACUUUCCUGUGAACAACCAAAAAUAAAAUUCAAAACACAGAGAGAGACAAAGACAGAAAGAGAGAGAGAGUGGAAGAGAGAGAGGUGGCCGGUGGUGGUGAUGAGCGUGACGGUCGUGGUGGUGACCCACGGAGACGGACGAACCAUAGACAGCAAGAGAAGACAUUUUUUCUUGACAAAAUUAUAUUUGUAAAGGUAAAGGAAAUGAAGAGGAUGAAAUUUGUUCUUUUGAUAGAUAUAAGUACAGAUCCGUCGUCGUCUUUUGAGGGGACGGCGAAGGAAAGCAAUGCAUGAAUGUGGAAAUGGAAACAAAAAUUGACCAAACAAUCGAAAAACAAUAAUAAGGAAUUUUUGUUUUUGUUAUUACCUUCUGGUUUUGGUUUAUGUAAUUUUACAACACC